GAUGGGGGGAAGGGAGCAGGUCUGUUCCCACGGUUCUCGAGGUUCCCACGCCUCGGAGACCCCGCAAGGCUGUGCCGCUCCAGUGGUUGGCUCAGCGCCCCCUGCCUCUGCACCCCCAGCCUAGCCAUUCUCGGUAAUAAGUGCUUAAAGGAGCAAAGGAGGAAAACUCAAACAAUCCUCACGUAAAUCCAAACCCUUCUGUUAGUUUCCCCCACGGCCCCACGUGGCCACCAAAUAACUCUUUAACCAGACUCACUGGCAGAUAAAUUACUUUGACUACUUGUAGUUACGAGCUGAAACUUUGGGCAAAAAGAAAAAAAAAAUGAAAUAGGGUCUCGGCGAUCCGGGGAAAGGAGGACUGAGUCUGGACGUCAAAAGGGUGGGCCUCACAAUGAAGGCAACCUGUUUGCUGGAAAACCACAGUUCAAGGUCAUGUUGCCACUGUUUCUGUGACGGUUGCUCUGCAUUGGUUGGUCCUAACUGAAAACAAGGGAACUCUACGGAUGCAGUUCCUACAAGCCACGCUCCAGAGCAGGUUCCUCAAGGUUUCCUCCUUCUCUGAUGCAAUAUGGUUCAACUCCUCCCUCUCGUUGGCUCGUGCUAGUGACAAGGCAAUCUCUCCUUCCAGACUGAAAAAUACGGACAC